GACGAACGCUGGCGGCGUGCUUAACACAUGCCAGUCGAACGGUGAAGCGCCUUCCUUUUUGGUGGGUGUGGAUGAGUGGCGAACGGGUGAGUAACACGUGAGUAACCUACCCCCUUCUUCUGGAUAACCGCAUGAAAGUGUGGCUAAUACGGGAUAUUCUGGGUCUGUCGCAUGAUGGGUCUGGGAAAGAUAUUGUUUCGGUGGGGGAUGGGCUCGCGGCCUAUCAGCUUGUUGGUGGGGUGAUGGCCUACCAAGGCGGUGACGGGUAGCCGGCCUGAGAGGGUGGACGGUCACACUGGGACUGAGACACGGCCCAGACUCCUACGGGAGGCAGCAGUGGGGAAUAUUGCACAAUGGGCGCAAGCCUGAUGCAGCGACGCCGCGUGAGGGAUGGAGGCCUUCGGGUUGUGAACCUCUUUCGCCAGUGAAGCAGGCCUGCCUCGUUUGUGGGUGGGUUGACGGUAGCUGGAUAAGAAGCGCCGGCUAACUACGUG
rnacentral:rRNA from 1 species